rnacentral:misc_RNA from 1 species
GAUGAAGAACGCAGCGAAAUGCGAUAAGUAAUGUGAAUUGCAGAAUUCCGUGAAUCAUCGAAUCCUUGAACGCACAUUGCGCCCCCUGGCAUUCCGGGGGGCAUGCCUGUCCGAGCGUCAUUUCUGCCCUCCAGCCCGGCUGGGUGUUGGGCGCUGUCCCCCCGGGGACACGCCCCAAAGGCAGUGGCGGCGCCGCGUCGGGUCCUCGAGCGUAUGGGGCUUUGUCACCCGCUCGGGACGGACUCGUCGGCGCUGGUCUUCCUCCAGGCGACCCUUCGGGGCUCGUCUUCCUUCGGUUGACCUCGGAUCAGGUAGGGUUACCCGCUGAACUUAAGCAUAUCAAUAAGCGGAGGA